UGCAGAUACUGAGGCACUCAGGAGGCUCAG
rnacentral:piRNA from 1 species